AAGGGGAAUAUACACAGACCAAGCACUGUUUACAAGCGAAAACAGUCCAAAACAGUUGUAAACAAAGAUGUCGUUGGACUUUGAUGUGAGAGGAGAAGAGGACGCCAUGUUGGAUGGCAUGAGGCUUUAUCAAGAAACUGGUUUCCUGUAUAAAUCGCUUAAUGUGUGCCGCUGCUUUUGAGAAGGUUUUGGAAACAUUGCAUCUAGUGUGCUACGGCUUGCUCAAAAGAAAUCUCCCUUAGCAAAGCUGCACAAGGAGACAAGCAAAGAAUCUCUCACUGAAGAUCAUUGUGAAUGAACCAUCAUUGCCAUAUCCAACUGUUCAGCUACCAGAGGUCACUGACCUGAAGUCUGUGUUUACAAGAAGUGGUCAGAGCUGAUGGGUUGGAGAUCUGCAGGGCAAGCGGUGUGGUUGAAGGGGCUCUUGCUGCAUUUUGUUCUUACUUUGUCUUCAA